AAAGAGAGCUGGCUUUCAUUUCCCAGCUUUUCCAUCUGGCUGUCAUUUGAAAAUGAACACGAUUUCUGUGGACACAGGAACAUUGAAAGAAGGAGAAGGAAACAGAGUCUGAAGACAGUGGAAAACACAAGAAAUCAUAUUGCCAUUCACAACAACAACAACAGCAGCAACAACAACGACAACAACAACAAUGCAGAUUUUGCUGCCUAGGUGUAUUGUGGACUUAAAACUUUCAGAUAAAGCAUUUGGGAUCUGAUGAGAAGAACUUUCAAGAAGUGUUGGCACUGAGCGGUAUUGCACCAAGCAGGUCCUCUGAGGUGUCUGACCAGUUUCCACAGCAGAACAUAUCUCUCCUUUGCUCCAAAUGAACUGUUUCUCCAGGCUUUACAUCAGCUUUCCCAAAGCACCAGUCUCCCUUAGUAAAAAGCCAUCUCCAACUUGCUCAUUUCUGCAUUGGACAGAGCAUGGGUAGAGCUUGCAGUUAAGAAUGGCACAAGACAUGAAACGUCCAGAAAGAUGAGCAGAGACAGCCCCAAGUGCACUGCAUAAAAGUGGAGAAAGGAAGCAAAGAUGUUCAGCAAAGUGCAAUCAAAGUGUGAGGAGCAAAACCAAGUCAACACAGUUAAUGUGAAGCCACUUGCUUGUCACAUGCAAAACUGAAAGACACUUCAGUAUUAUCUGUGGUGCUUUUUUCCUUGGAUGUGGUGCACAGCAAGAAAAGAGAAACCAUCUUACUUGAAGAGCUCUGUGUUAGUUGCUAUUAAUUUCCAAAAGUGUAGCUUAAGCCUAUCCACGAAACCAGUCCCAGCUGUACUAUUCCCAGGUCAAUUAGCAGUGUUCCUGCUGCACAGUACUUCAGAAGAUGCUCAGGCGGUCUGUUGAUCUUCAGGGAAACCCCUAGACUUCCUUCCUCAUUAUUCAUGGGGAUUUCCCGCUCUGCUGCAGAAAAACAAGGAUCAAAAUGUUUACGUGCUGUCUCGUGUCUCCAGAUUCUUCAUCUCACUUAAAGGCCUAAGGAAGUGAGCGGUCAUAAAUAGAAUUCUUGAAACACUAGAAGUGGAAGCAAUACAGGCACAUCUUAAAAACUGUUUUACCAAAACAACACAAAAAAUACCUUAAAGUUUUGGUGGUCUUUUUCAUACUACAGGGAAUACCAGGGAGCAAAAAGAAAGUAAAUCUGUAGUUUUAUAAUUAUAUUUUGUUUAUUAGCAAAGUAGGAGAGAGACAACAAAGCUAUGAAGACAUCUUAUAGCAAAAUGAAUUAGACACAGGCCUGUGUGCAGUCUUUGAGAUCUGUCUGUGUGAUCAGCCUGUUUAAUUACAAAGUGUUCCAGAACAUAGAUUGUUCAAAUAAACACGGCAUUGGGCUAUGGAAUGGAUUUCUGCCUGUGCUGCUUGUUAAAUCCAGCAGAAGAACAGCCCAG